rnacentral:rRNA from 1 species
GACGAACGCUGGCGGCGUGCUUAACACAUGCCAGUCGAACGGAAAGGCCCUGCUUGCAGGGUGCUCGAGUGGCGAACGGGUGAGUAACACGUGGGUGAUCUGCCCCUUACUUUGGGAUAAGCCUGGGAAACUGGGUCUAAUACUGGAUAGGACCAUGCUGUAGGUGGUGUGGUGGAAAGAUUAGUUUCGGUAAGGGAUGAGCUCGCGGCCUAUCAGCUUGUUGGUGGGGUAAUGGCCUACCAAGGCGUCGACGGGUAGCCGGCCUGAGAGGGUGGACGGCCACAUUGGGACUGAGAUACGGCCCAGACUCCUACGGGAGGCAGCAGUGGGGAAUAUUGCACAAUGGGCGCAAGCCUGAUGCAGCGACGCCGCGUGGGGGAUGACGGCCUUCGGGUUGUAAACUCCUUUCAGCCAUGACGAAGCCCUUGUGGUGACGGUAGUGGUAGAAGAAGCACCGGCUAACUACGUA